UAGGUUAAUGCCUACAAUAAGUGUUCUUGAAAUACAGUCACGCGUUGCUUAACCAUGGGGAUAUAUUCUGAUAAAUUCAUCAUUAGGCGAUUUCAUCACUGGGCGAACAUCACAGCUCGUACUCACACAAACCUAGAUGUCAUAGCCUACUACACACCUAGGCUAUAUGAUAUAGGCUAUUGCUAGCAACAAACCUGUACAGCAUGUUACUGUCUUGAAUACUUAGGCAGCAGAGCACAAUGUUAUAGAAACAGAUGAUCAGUGGCCCACGGAUUCCAGGUGAGGAUCUGGGACCCAGACAUCCAGAUAUUGAAAACACAGGGAUGGAGUCUGUAUGGAAAAAAUUAAAAUAUAGCAAAAUGUGAAAUACGGAAGAGAAAUCUUUCAAUUUCCCAAUGGAAGUGAGAAAAGAGCAAAGAAAAGUAUUGGUCUUCCAAAACAAAUAGAGGACGGAGCUGCUGCUGUUGCAUGGUGUCUAGAAACUCAGACAACUUCAUCAUUCCAUAUUUGCAUCCAAGAGAGAGAAAGAAAAACUACAAUCAUUUUCCAUUUACCCAUCAACCCAUCAACCUCCAAAUAAAGGCUAUUAAAAAACAAUCAAAGUGUGAAGAGGGCAGAAAAUGUGAUGAAGAGAUUCUUUGGAGAAAGUAGCUGCCACUGUUACCUUGGGAUCUGCCUAUAGUCCUCACAGAGCUUGCCCUUGCAGGAUAGAACAUAGGAGUCUGGGAGUCUGCAAGAAGAGACAGGGUCUCACUAUGUUGCCCCAGUUGGCCUUGAACUGCUGGACUCAAGGGAUCCUCCUGCCUCAGCAUCCUGAGUAGCUGGGUCUACAGGCAUGAACCACCAGGCCCAGAACCCUGUCUUUUGAAAGCCAUAUGCGAUCUGUCUGCCCUGAAGUGACUACUUCAUCUCCAACCAGCCCUUGGCUGGCAAAGUCAGGAAGACUCCAGUCUUUCCUGAAGACCAGGGGAGAGUUUAUAACUCUAGCAUCAAAGUCAGCAGCUGUUCAUCUAGAAGACAACUUCCCAAAAGUCAAUGUCUUUGCCUGAAGCUUUUCUUCCCAGAUCUCCUAUGGUGAAACAACCAAAGGGAAGAAGAAUGUGGGCAGCCCUCAGUAAGACAGGAGAUGAGCAUCAACAUUGACCCAUUCUUUCUUCCAGUCCUCGAUGCUUACCUUGUACAUUCUUCUUUGUCUUCCGACUCAGUGCCUUUAGGGUAUGGACGUUGCCUGGUCCCACACAAGCCAAGCAUCAAAUGGAUGGCUCAACAAGGAGGCCAAGACCAGCUAAUGUUUAGUGAGCACCCAAAGGGGCCACACUGGAGAGAACAGCACAGCUCCGUCUGAGAAACAGCUGUUCCUUCCUGCCUGAGAGGCAGAGUGAUAGAAGAUAUCACAGAAUGUUGCUGCUUUGUCUUCCACCCUGAACCCUCCACGACCUCCCUGUAGCUUCCUGAUUUUAAGUAGACAUCAAAUGAUUCUUAAUCCUUUCUGGGUCUUGGAACGAUUUGAAAAUUGUCAACAGUACUGGGAUUCCCAGAAUAAUGCACAUAUGUACAUACUCAGAUAUUCCCCAAGCCCUGGAUAUAAUUUUAAGGGAGUUCACAGACCACACUCCCCCACCCAUCUGUGGACCCAGAUUCUGUGGGUUCGAGAUUCAGAAGCCCUGUUUCUAGGCAGGCCCUCUGUUGCUAACGCCCCUCGAGAACAUCACCCUAGAUGAUUAUCCCUUCUUCCUCCACUCCUUCCCACCUUCUCCAACUGCUGGGUUUCAGCACAAAGAUUGCUUGCCAGUUAAACUGGCACCAUGGACCGCACAGUAGUUGUUUCUUGGGUCUAGAGGAAACAGCCAGAUUCCUUUAAGUAAAUCAUGUCUUAGUUAUUGAUUGUCUCCACUUGAAGUUUUUGACAAUCUCUGAUUAAAUCAUAAACCACUGCA
ensembl:lncRNA LINC02290 long intergenic non-protein coding RNA 2290